AAUCUCUUGAGUUUAGAGGAUGACCUAACUUCUACCUGCAGUAGGUGUUUAACAACCACCCAUGAACCAGCAAUGGAUCAGGAGCUUGCUGAAAAAUUGAUGUUAGAUUGACGAGGACCAGAAACAUCCAGCUUUCCUCCUGCUCUCCACUACACAUCCAGCAACAAAUAAAGUCUUCUAUCAUCAGAA